CCUACGGGAGGCAGCAGUGGGGAAUAUUGGGCAAUGGGCGCAAGCCUGACCCAGCAACGCCGCGUGAAGGAAGACGGCUCUCCGGUUGUAAACUUCUUUUAAGAGGGAAGAGCAGAAGACGGUACCUCUUGAAUAAGCCACGGCUAACUACGUGCCAGCAGCUGCGGUCAUACGGAGGUGGCAAGCGUUGUCCGGAUUUACUGGGUGUAAAGGGCGUGCAGCUGGGAAGACAAGUCAGAUGUGAAAUCCCGCGGCUCAACCGCGGAACUGCAUUUGAAACUGUUUUUCUUGAGUACCGGAGAGGUCAGCGGAAUUCGUUGUGUAGCGGUGAAAUGCGUAGAUAUAAGGAAGAACACCAGUGGCGAAGGCAGAUGACUGGACGGCAACUGACGGUGAGGCGCGAAAGCGUGGGGAGCAAACAGGAUUAGAUACCCCUGUAGUC
rnacentral:rRNA from 1 species